rnacentral:lncRNA from 1 species
CUGCUUCACCACUUUCAAAACAAUUUUCUUCAUUUCUUCAUCGGGUGACUGAAACUCCCGAAUCAGAAUAAGCACGACUUCCUUAGUACAAUAGCUAGCAUAUAAGGAUUCCAUCAACGGAAUGAUAAACCCAAUUGCCUUCAAAAACGCAGCCAGCACCUUACCACGGUGUUGCCUAAUUCCCUUCCACAGUGGCUUCAACACCGAGUCAAAACUUUCAAUACCAUAAGGGGCAGCCGCCUCAGCAAGUGCAGCAAGAGAUAAUGCAGUGAUCAUCCUCACCUUCUGAUUCUCAUCAUUCAAACCAUGCUCUAUAAUCUUCACAAGAGAUCUCAGAUGGGGCAACACAGCGCAUCCAAUUAAAAUGGCAAUCUGCUGUACAAUCUUAACACCAGUGUGUCGAGCUUGCCAUGAUUUCUUACUCUGACAAACAGCCUUCAGGAAGGGCAAUAAAGCCGGAAUACCAAGAGCAGACGCAACAACACUAAAAGCUCUAGCAGUGGUAUUCCUAACAUAUUCAUCAAUGUUAUCUAUGUCAGGCCUCAUGGCAGCAAUCAUGGUGGCCAAACCAGCCGCUUUACUGAGAUUCGAUAUUAUUUCUCUCCCCUCAACACGGGCAUAGUAGUCUUCAUCAAUCAAGAGGGGCUCAAUAACAACAAGAAUCUUAUGCACAUAAGGCCGAACCAAUUCAUCCAAUUUAUAAAGAACUCUAUCAAUUACCUUAACCAAAAGAUGUCUCUCUUGGUCCUCCAAAGUAGGCUGCAUAAGCAAUGGCAGAAUUCGGUUAAACAAAGGUCCAGCACCGAACUCACGAGCCUUAUCAGUUAACUGCCUCAAAGCAGUUUUCCUCUGUGGUGGAGUACCGUUCUUCACUUUAAGCAGAAGCUUCAUAAUCUUCCUCUCUUUCUGCUCAUCUGGAGACAACUCCUCUUCAUUUUCUUCAUUCAACAAAGCCCCGAAAUACUGAUAAUCUUCAGGUUUCAUGAAAGGCAAACCACCAGGAGCUUCCUUAGGAACAUCAUACUGCUGACCACGAUUCUCUUCAGGAAUUUGAUAAAGCGGAGUCCCCAACGGCGUAGGGGUAGCAAGAAGCUUCCUUGCAGGAGUUCUAAUUGGCACAUAAGAAGCAGGAGGAUCCAAAACCUUAUACCCUUCUUGUGGAAACAUAGCAUCAAGCUCUUCAUCGGUCAAAGGACGAUUCCUCUCUUCAAUAUCCCUCUCCCACCUCAACAAAUUAUACUGCUCAGGUGUAAAUGAACCUUGUAAAGCACCAGGAGUAGGAGUAGCCAAUUCAACACCACCAACAGGAGUAACACCAGGUGUAUAACCAGCAGCAGGAGUUGCACCAGGUAAUGGAGUUGCACUCCCCAUAGUAGCAGGUGUUUCAUCCCAUCUUGAUCUUUGUCUCUUAGGAGUUGGAGUAGCCAUUCCAGGAAGCUUAGGAGUAGCAUCCCAAGCAGUUGCACCAGGUGUAGCACCAGGAGUAACACCACCAGGAGUAGCAUCAGAAUCAACCNNNNNNNNNNNNNNNNNNNNNNNNNNNNNNNNNCCACCAGGUGUAGCAUCAGAAUCAACCAACCUCCCGGGCGUCGGAGUCUCAUCCCACCUAUUCCUCCUCCCUGGAGUAGCAUCAAUAACUCUCCCCGGAGUUGGUGUAGCAUCCCAUCUCCCCGGUGUCAUCGAUUCCGGAGCAUCCCAAUCAGAUGUUUUAGCCUUCUUAGCAUUAGCACCACCUUCAUCCUGAGAUUGAUCCCACCUAUUCCUCCUCUUCUGCUGAUUAUUCACCUGUUGAGACUGAGACUGAGACUGAGACUGGUUCUUCUCCGGAGCAGCCUUAGCAUUCUCUUCUUCCUCCUUCUUCUUCUUGGCAAUCGCCCUCUUCGUUUCAUCGAACUCUCUCUUCAACGCUUCAUCCCUCAUAAUUUCAGCAUAAGUCCUCACAGAUGGAUCCGGCGUCUUCUCUCCAGCAGCAAAAGGAUCAUGUCUAUCCGGAGAAAGAAUCUGAUUCAACCUACGCUUACGAUAAUCAUCUUCACGAUCAAUUAUUCGCCGCGACUGAGGUAAACUCGAAUCUCCAGCAUCGUUUUCGGCGGAAGGAAUUUCUCUCAUGAUAGAUUUAGGACCAGUGUAUGAAGGAAGUCGGCGAGAAAACUCGUUAUCGGCUUCGAGAUUUUCAGCAUCUUCGCUCGCCGGAAUUGAAGUGAGAUAUGAAGAUCUAUCGCUUGCGCCAUAGAGAUCAGUAUCGAAGGUGAGUGCAGUGAGUGAAGCGAGUUCUNNNNNNNNNNNNNNNNNNNNNNNNNNNNNNNNNNNNNNNNNNNNNNNNUAGAGAUCAGUAUCGAAUGUGAGUGCAGUGAGUGAAGCGAGUUCUUGUUCCAUCUUCUUUCGGUCUUCUUGCGUUUUCCUAAUUUCGUCAUCGUUCGACGACAUGGUUGUUCUGCUUCCAAAACCCUAGAUAUGGCGGUUUUCGAGAAGGUGAGUGAUUUCACGAUUUUGAGAGUGUGAAAAAAGAAUUUGUUUAUAUAUGAUGCCUAAAUAUCACAUAAACCG